rnacentral:tRNA from 1 species
GGGGCUGUGGCGCAGUUUGGGAGCGCGUCUGAAUGGCAUUCAGAAGGCCGAGGGUUCGAAUCCCUUCAGCUCCA